UAGAGACAGCAGAAGGGCCAC
rnacentral:miRNA from 1 species